AGUACGCUAUAGAGUUUGAUCAUGGCUCAGAACGAACGCUGGCGGCAGGCUUAACACAUGCAAGUCGAACGCCCCGCAAGGGGAGUGGCAGACGGGUGAGUAACGCGUGGGAAUCUACCCAGAACUUCGGAACAACUGAGGGAAACUUCAGCUAAUACCGGAUACGCCCUACGGGGAAAGAUUUAUCGGUUCUGGAUGAGCCCGCGUUGGAUUAGCUAGUUGGUGAGGUAUGGCCCACCAAGGCGACGAUCCAUAGCUGGUCUGAGAGGAUGAUCAGCCACACUGGGACUGAGACACGGCCCAGACUCCUACGGGAGGCAGCAGUGGGGAAUAUUGGACAAUGGGCGAAAGCCUGAUCCAGCCAUGCCGCGUGAGUGAUGAAGGCCUUAGGGUUGUAAAGCUCUUUCAGUAGGGAAGAUAAUGACGGUACCUACAGAAGAAGCCCCGGCUAACUUCGUGCCAGCCGCCGCGGUAAU
rnacentral:rRNA from 1 species